CAUUUGGCCAAUUUCUUCCAAAAAUGAAUACCCUAAUGGGAGAUGUGCACAACAGGCAAAAUGAAUGCCUUACUCGGUUGUCAGUGGCCACAUUUUGUUCGCAAUCAAAUGACGAACUUUUAAAUUCUCUUUGAAGUCUUAGCACGAUUAUCCUCUACAAUCGUUAAUUCUCUUUUUUGUAUUUAUUGCUGUUCUGUGUGUAAAGUAGCAGUUGUUUAAAGUUUUAUAAUUACCAUAACAUCAACGUUAAUUUCCGUUUCCCGUCUAUGGAAUUUGGCAUUUGUUAGCAUUAGGCUAGCAGACAUUGGUUCGUUGAAAUUAUGGUUUGGUUGAACAUUUUGGUGUUGAAAUGGACAAUGUUUCAUUCUCUUGUUGUAUGUGUUGCUGCUCUGUGUGUGCAAAGUAGGAGUUGUUUGAAGGUUUCAAAUUGUCAUGACAUCUAUGCUAAGUUUCCGUUAUACGCCGUUUCGCAUUAUAUUUUAGCAACAAGCUAGCAGAAUCCAUUUGAUGAUGUCUUCUUUGAUACCCAAUAGUGAACAAUUUCUCACUUUUGUUUUUUAUUUCAUCUUAGCGACUGUUUUGUAUCUCUCUAGUUGCAGCUGUCCAUGUAUGAUCAUCUUUGAUAAGCCUCACGAGAUGCCGCUGUUUUGUUGAGCAA